UACAGAGGCCCCAAGCGUUACUGAGAAUCACUGGGUUUAAAGGGUGCGUAGGUGGCGCGUUAAGUUCGUUGUGAAAUCCCUGGGCUCAACCCAGGAAUUGCUUCGAAUACUGGCGUGCUUGAGGCUAGUAGGGGUCACUGGAACUGACGGUGGAGCGGUGAAAUGCAUUGAGAUCGGAAAGAACACCAACGGCGAAAGCACUCUGCUGGGCCGACACUGACACUGAGAGACGAAAGCUAGGGGAGCAAAUGGG
rnacentral:rRNA from 1 species